rnacentral:lncRNA from 1 species
CCAAUAUCCUGGUCUCCAUUUCUAAGAGUUUCUAAGACGUGGAGCAGCUAGAAACAGAACCCACGGAGAAGACUGUGUGAACAUGAAGACCGUCAUCUAGAAGCUGAGCUGAGGAGCCUAGAACAGAUCCUUCCCCCACCCCCAGCUCUCAGAAGGACCAACCCUGCCA